GUUGAUAAGGCCUCUGGUCAAACUAGGUCAUUCGUAGUUAAGUUUUGGGGCAGUAAGAAGUUAUCGGUAGCUUUUUGCGGAGAUCAGUGCCCCUAACCUCUGAACCCUGUUUAAGGGUCAACUAUGAUUGAGGACUUCCGGUGUUGGUAACCGCAGCGAACAGCACGGAGGGUGGGAGAGAAGUGAAGGAUCAGACAGCCCUCCCUGCUUACAGGGGCUUGUGUUGCGUUCUUUCUGCCUAUAACCUGCAACUAGAUGGUUCCUGUUGUCUAUGCCAGUUUCUCCGACCUUCCUUGUGUUUGGUGAUCCAGACAGUUUUGAAGAACACUGAUAAGGCGACCUCAACCAACCCGGAGUAAAUUUCACUUUGAACAAGCAUUAACGC
rnacentral:lncRNA from 1 species